UACGAAGGGUGCAAGCGUUGUUCGGAAUCAUUGGGCGUAAAGCGCGCGCAGGCGGAUUGAUAAGUCAGGUGUGAAAUCUCGAGGCUCAACCUCGAAACUGCGCCUGAAACUAUUAGUCUAGAGUGUCGGAGGGGGCAGGGGAAUUUCACGUGUAGGGGUAAAAUCCGUAGAGAUGUGAAGGAACACCGGAGGCGAAGGCGCCUGCCUGGACGACUACUGACGCUGAGGAGCGAAAGCGUGGGGAGCGAACAGG
rnacentral:rRNA from 1 species